rnacentral:rRNA from 1 species
UACAGAGGGUGCGAGCGUUAAUCGGAAUUACUGGGCGUAAAGCGUGCGUAGACGGUUAUUUAAGUCGGAUGUGAAAGCCCCGGGCUCAACCUGGGAAUUGCAUUCGAGACUGAAUAGCUAGGGUACGGUAGAGGGAAGUGGAAUUUCCGGUGUAGCGGUGAAAUGCGUAGAUAUCGGAAGGAACAGCAGUGGCGAAAGCGACUUCCUGGACCAGUACCGACGUUCAGGCACGAAAGCGUGGGGAGCAAACAGG